UGACAGAAGGAAAAGACGGAAAUACGCAGCUGGUAUAAAUAAAGCAUUGGGCGAGGGAAGGCUGACCGAAUAUCAGUUUGAACAACGCUUUAUUGUUUCAUUUCCGAGACCUGAAGACCAUUUAGAACACCCCACUGCCAAGGACACGCCAUCUACUACUCUGGAAGUCGAAGAGCAUCAAGUGUCGGCUCCAGUCGCAGAUCGCGACUCAAGUGGAACAGCGUCAGCUGUGGAUCAGAAGCGGGUGCUGCGGUCAAGGUCGAAGGAAGAACCACCAGCUGAACACCAGUAUGCCAGGAAAAGAACCAGGGAGCGACUGUUCACGACACAAAAACUGGACUGUGGCGCAAAAGUGCAUGUCAGAGAGACGCUGUGCUUUCCAUAUGAAAAGGACACGCCAUCUACUACUCUGGAAGUCGAAGAGCAUCAAGUGUCGGCUCCAGUCGCAGAUCGCGACUCAAGUGGAACAGCGUCAGCUGUGGAUCAGAAGCGGGUGCUGCGGUCAAGGUCAAAGGUCAAUUCAGCCUCAGGGAAAUAACAGGGUGUAUGCUUAGUCCCUUUUUGUUUCAUUUUUUUAUAAACUGAUUGGUUGAAAUUUAGAAAUUGUCCGAUUUCAUUCAAAUUUCGUAUAUUGACAUGUUAUGAGACUCCGUAUUUUUACCGUGUCCAUGGAAAGGAGGUCUCUGAUUGCUCCUUUAAAUACUCUACCCUAUUUCGUAUAAUCUUCAAAAAACGGAGGUUGCGAUUAUG